rnacentral:tRNA from 1 species
GAAGAAAUGCCAGAGGUUAUAUGGGCGUGGUUUAGGACUAUGACACAGCUAGUUAGGCUUUUCUUUU